GCCCGGCUAUGAUCACAGCUGAAAUGAGACAUCAAGGGUGGAGAAGUACUCCCAGAUUAUCAAGGUGACAUGACACAGACAAUCAUCCUUACUGCUUACCGCAGAAGCACAACUGCAGUAGACAGCUGAUGGAAAACUGUUGUUCAUGAGAAGAGAAAGAAUAAUUAUUGGACUGGACCACUCCAUUUUCCCCCUCUACAUGGUGUUUGCUAACCAGAGACAAAAUAAUGGUGUAAAGAGGCUCUAGG